CAACAAAUGGCGCUGCAAGAGGGCCUGCUGGUGGGGCUAUCAUCAGGAGCCAACACGGUGGCAGCGAUUGAACUUGCAAAGAGGCCCGAAAACAAAGGGAAGCUCAUCGUGACUGUUCAUCCGAGCGCGGGGGAGCGAUACUUAUCGUCGACGCUGUUCCAGGGUCUGAGGAAGGAGACGGAGGCUAUGCAGCCAGUGCCAGUGGAC